rnacentral:tRNA from 1 species
UCCUGAGUAGCUCAGAUGGUAGAGCGUUUGAAAAGAGCCAAAAAUGUAGAGCCUUUCAUUUGUCACCGGUUCGAAUCCGGUCUCAGGAGCAA